GACGAACGCUGGCGGCGUGCUUAACACAUGCAAGUCGAACGGAAAGGCCCUGCUUUUGUUGGGUGCUCGAGUGGCGAACGGGUGAGUAACACGUGAGUAACCUGCCCUUUACUUUGGGAUAACUUCAGGAAACUGUGGCUAAUACCGGAUAGGAGCUCCUGCUGCAUGGUGUGUGUUUGAAAGUUUCGGCGGUUGGGGUUGGACUCGCGGCUUAUCUGCUUUUUGGUGAGGUAGUGGCUUACCAAGGCUUUGACGGGUAGCCGGACUGAGAGGGUGACCGGCCACAUUGGGACUGAGAAACGGCCCAGAGGCAUACGGGAGGCAGCAGUGGGGAAUAUUGCACGAUGGGCGGAAGCCUGAUGCAGCAACGCCGCGUGCGGGAUGACGGCCUUAGGGUUGUAAACCGCUUUCGCCUGUGAAGAAGAGUGAGUGACGGUAAUGGGUAAAGAAGCACCGGCUAACUACGUG
rnacentral:rRNA from 1 species